rnacentral:rRNA from 1 species
UACGGAGGGUGCAAACGUUGCUCGGAAUUAUUGGGCGUAAAGCGCACGUAGGUGGUCUGUUUAGUCGGGUGUGAAAGCCCUGGGCUCAACCCAGGAAGUGCACUCGAUACUGGCAGGCUUGAGUAUGGAAGAGGGUCGCGGAAUUCCCGGUGUAGAGGUGAAAUUCGUAGAUAUCGGGAGGAACACCAGUGGCGAAGGCGGCGACCUGGGCCAAUACUGACACUGAGGUGCGAAAGCGUGGGGAGCAAACAGG